CUGGUACUAAGACAUUUAUUAUAUCAUAAAAAGUCCACUGUUGUUCUGUUUUUCCAUAUGUACAUGCUCCUGUGGGCAGUCCCCCACCCAGCCCCCACCUGCCUACCCUCCAUGGUGCCAGUCAACUCUCCAAACUGACCAACUAAUUAGUAAAAGAGGAAGAACUGGAGGAGGUGGCCCAGGGCUAAUGGGAGUGGGAAACAAAGUGCAGAGUGGUUGGGCUUAGUUUUCAAUGCCUGACCGUGGGCAGGCACUGCAGGGCCGGCACACGGAUGCCUCCCCAGAGCUGCCGGGCUGGAGGCAGAGGCUGCAGAUGACAGCUGAGUUCACUCUCAGGCUGAACCCCCAGGAAUGGAGCGCAGAGGAGGAAAAAGGUCCCACAGCUGAUUGGGGGUCUUAGCUGGGGCUAUCAACAUUCUCUUUUUCAGGUCCCCAUCCAAGUGGCAGCAACAGCAGCUCUGACUUGGCCUGAAGAGCUUGUGGCCCGCAGGACAGCCAGAAGUGGGGUCAAGGAAAGCCUGGUGGGAAGCACUGGUCCUGAUCUCUGAGUGACCUGCCUUAGUUGACCUCAGAGGUGGGUAUGGGAUCUGUGGGGCGGGGUGUGGCCAGGAGGGGCACUGGUGAGGUGGCCUCGAUGAGCGCAGGGUUGAGGAUGAUGGGCAGAGUCAUAGGUGGCACGCCCACCUGCAGUGGGGAGGCCAAGGGCUGCAGGAUCAGUGGGGGCUGAGCCAAGGGUGGAGGCCCGUCGGGGGUGGGGCUCAGCCUGCUGGGGCUUGAGGCCACUGGUGAUCCUGGGGAGCUGCUGCUGGCGGCUCGGGGGCUCUCGGGCUUCUCAAAGUCUGUAGGGAAAGCAAGGUGGUUACAGUCAGAUUCCCUUGUUGGUACAAGACAACUCUCACAUUGCCCAGCUGGCUGCUUAUAGAGUCUCUGUUCCUCCUUGUUCCAGUAAGCAACACGGCCCCCCACCAGCCUAAAAAGUUGGGAGUCUCCCCUCAAAACUCAUUUCAAUGUUCAGCUACCUUCUAUCUCCUUUGCCAGGCUACUCUUUUUUUUUUUUUUUUUUUUUUUUUUCGCGACAGGGUCUCACUAUCACCCAGGUUGGAGUGCAGUGGCAUGAUCUCAGCUCACUGCAACCUCUGCCUCCCGGGUUCAAGCGAUCCUUCCACCUCAGCCUCCCCAGUAGCUGGGAUUAUAGGUGUGCACUACCACGCCCAGCUAAUUUUUAUAUUUUUUUGGUACAGGCGGGGUUUCACCAUGUUGGCCAGGCUGGUUUCAAACUCCUGACCUCAGGUGAUCUACCUGCCUCAGCCUCCCAAAGUGCUGGGAUUACAGGUAUGAGCCACUGCGCCUGGCCGCCAGGUUACUCUCUACUAGAAUCCCUGAAAGGAAACCUCUGCAAAUUCAUUCCAAGUCCCUGACCCAGCCUUCUCUUCCCAAGCCUGAAGACUGCAAGCAGCUAGUUCCUCAUAGCUUAUGGUCCUGUCAUUUCCCAUGGGAAGAGCGGCAACAGUUCUCUCUAGUGGCCUUCUUCCCUCGGCUCACAGACCCUGCUCAGCAGCAUUCCCACGCCCCCUUGGGCCUCCUCUUAGGCCCCCUGCUUGCUACUCAGUGCCUAUCAGGCUAGGCUAGAGAGACUCACCACAGGCCCCCAGCUCAGAUGGAAUCUCUGGGGGCGGUGGAUGGCCAGGUGUCCUAGUGUCGCCAGCAGCGGAAGUCAGGUGGGCUGAGGCGAGAGGCUUUUGGCCUUGAGGCUCCAUGGGCAUGGGGUCUGGAGACGGUAGAGAAUUGAGAUGGCACCUCUUAGUGCUUUCUCUCUCCAGCAGAGCCCUAGCUACCCAACAGCCUUUCUACCCACCCAGGGCACAGACAAUAAAUUCAGCUUUGGGGACUUUUUUUUUUUGAGAUGGAAUCUCGUUCUGUCACUCAGGCUGUGAUCUCGGCUCACUGCAACCUCCACUUCCCGGGUUCAAGUGAUUCUCCUGUUUCAGCCUCCUGAGUAGCUGGGACUACAGGCACCCACCGCCACACCUGGCUAAUUUUUGUAUUUUUCGUAGACAUGGGGUUUCACUAUGUUGGUCAGGCUGGUCUCAAAUUCCUGCCCUCGGGUGAUCCACCCACCUCGGCCUCUCAAAGUGCUGGGAUUAGAGGUGUGAGCCAUUGUGCCCAGGCAGGAGACUCUUUUUGAUAAAGCUGGGCUGAGCCCCCUACCCUGGAUGACGGUCUGCUUGAAGAGUUCAUCUCGUAGGUGAGGGAGAAAACAGUCAAUGCGUUCCCAGGUGAUCUCCCAGAGGGCCGAGGGGCCGCCUCCCCGUGCAUCUGCACUGUGGAAAAUCUCCGCUGUGUCCAUCACCAGAAGCAUGUUCUUCAGAGACUCAGGGAUCGCCUCUGACUGCAGGUGGCAGUGGGACCAUGAGAAUAGGAAAGAGGGCAUGGGGGGAGUAUGGUAAAGGGAGGUAGCUACCAAGGGGGAAAGGGCAAGUCCUUCCAACAGGUGGGACAGGAGGCAGGCAGCAGAGCUGAGGUAGAACAUACCAGUAAGUCGCUGGAGCCUGCGUGCAUGUACUUGUCCAUGAAGUCCAAGAUGGUGAGCCAGAGGGCCGCAAAGGUAGAGAGUGACAGCAGUGGAGACAGGUGCUGCAGGAAGACCUAUGGCCCACCAGCCCCCUUCAGCUGAGGGGACUGUAGGAGCCUCUGGACCCCUCUCUGAGGCUGGGUAGCUAAGCCUGUCCUAUCUUGCAUGAGAAUCUUAGAUCAGAGAUGGAGGAAUCUCUGAUUUAAGAUUCAGAAUCCUCUCAGGUCCCUAGGUCCUGCUUAGUGUCCAUAGCUGGGGGGUUGUGAGCACCUACAGUGCAUCUCUAGGUCCUGCCAGAAGCCCUGGCUUCCCUCCUCGGGAAAAGGCAGGUAUGGGAGAGAGGGUGGGUAUAGGGUGGUGAGCAGUACCUUAGAGAGCAAUGUGGAAGCCCUCAUCCGGGUCUCCUCCAUCCCACCCACAUCUGCAGGGCUGAUGUUCUCCAAGAGCUUGGUAAGUAGAGGAAACAGCACCUGGUGGGGGUAAAUGUGCAAUGUCUCCCUAUGAGGUUCAGCUAGGCAGCCUUGCCCCAAGGAAGCCAGGAACUGGAUGGGCAUAGAGCUGAAGGGAAGGUAUGAUGCAGGCUGAAGACUCACAUUAGGGGCUCUUCAGGCUGCCUGGCUUUCCUUUUCUUAGGAUUUGAACUUUAUCUUAAGACCAGUAGGAAGUCCCACCUUGUUAAAACAGGACUCCCAUUCCAGGGCAUCUAGCUUUUGCAGAUCAUGUACAAGUAGUGCUCGCUGCAGAUAGGUCAGUGCCUGCAUCCGUACCUGGCGCCGGGCAUCGCAGCACAGGCAGGCAAUACCUGAGAGCAAGAGCAGGGUCAGGAUCCUUCAGGCAUCUUGAUCCUGAUGCUCCCCAAACUCCCUACCUCUGCCCCUCCUGGUUUACCCUGCAGUAAAGGGCACCAGCAGUGGGCCCAGAGGGUGCGAGAAUCAGCUUCAAUCUUCUGGCCACCUGUCUCCAGGUGGCGUUGCUCCUCCGCCCAUGAGCUGUAGAUAGAGGCUGCCCGCGUGUGCAGGGUGUGCAUCAGGUCUAGCAACUAGGAUCACAGGAGGGGGCAGGAUGUGAGUGGGGUUAGGUCUCGUGGAUCCCUUUCCCCCUCCCCACUCACUGUCCCUAACUAAGUCCUCAAGGUGUCCCUAGCACCAAUCAUGCCAUACCUCACCCCCUCGCUACUCUUUCCCUUGACUUGACUUCCUGGUUGUUCCAGUCCUUGUAAAGGACUCUCCAAGUCAGAGAUUACUCAUGAGAGAGAGAGCCUUAGGAGGUGUGUGGACUGAGUAUUUCACAAUCCUUACUCACAGUGAGAAAGAUACUUUCUUUUCAAUUCUAUUUCACACCUGCUGAUGACAGAGAAAGCCUCAUGUUGUUAAUUUAAUUUUAUUUUUUGAGGCAGGGUCUCACUCUGUCACCCAGGCUGGAGUGCAGUGGCACAAUCACGGCUCGCUGCAGCCUCGAACUCCUGGGCUCAGGUGAUCCUCCCACCUCAGCCUUAUGAGUAGAUGGAACUACAGCUGUGCGCUGCCACAGCCAGCUAAUUUUUUGUAUUUUUGUAGAGAUGGGGUUUUGCCAUGUUGCCCAGGCUGAUCUUGAGCUCCUGGGCCCAAGCAAUAGUCCUCCCAAAGUUUUAGGAUUACAGGUGUGAUUAUACCAUGCCCGGCCUAAUUUUAUUUCUUAUUUUAUUUUUUGAGACAGGGUCUUGCUCUGUGCAAAACUGGAGUGCAUGGCACCAUCAUGGCUCACUGCCUCCUGGAUCUCCUAGGCUCAAGAAAUCCUCCCACCUACUCAGCUACUCAGCCUCCCCAGUAGCUGGGACUACAAUGUGUGCCACCAUGCCCAGAUAAUUUUUGCAUUUUUAUUUUUGUAGAGGCAGGGUCUCGCUAUUUUUCCCAGGCUGGUCUCGAACUCCUGGCCUCAAGUGAUCCUCCCGCCUCAGCCUCCCAAAGUGCUGGAAUUACAGGUGUGAGCCACUGUACCUGGCUGUUAAUCUCAUUUUUAAAACAGAAAACCUCAGGCUCAGAGGCUUUGAUUGGGCAAUAGUGUCUGGCCAGAUUUAAUACAUUUUUACUUUCGUUAUUUUUCUUUUCUUUCUUUUUUUUUUUUUUGAGAUGGAGUCUUGCUCUGUCGCCCAGGCUGGAGUGCAGUGGCAUAAUCUCGGCUCACUGCAAGCUCUGCCUCCCGGGUUCACGCCAUUCUCCUGUCUCAGCCUCCCGAGUAGCUGGGACUACAGGCGCCUGCCACCAUGCACAGCUAUUUUUUCUAUUUUUAGUAGAGACGGGGUUUCACCGUGUUAGCCAGGGUGGUCUCCAUCUCCUGACCUCAUGAUCCACCCGCCUCGGCCUCCCAAAGUGCUGGGAUUACAGGCAGGAGCCACCAAGCCCAGCCACUUUUGUCAUUUUUGUAUGGUUAUUCUAUUUAAGGCAAUUGGUUCUCCAUCAAUUUAGUGAUAUAAACUCUGCUCACAUAAUUAAUUUUAUAUGCCUUUGAAUAGACACAGGGUAACUCUGGAAGGAUAGACAAGAAACUGGUGACAGUGGCUGCCUCUAGUGAGGGGAACUCAGAAGCUGGGGACAGGAAUGGAUUGGAAACUUAGUUUUAUCAGUUUACCCUUUUGUAUAUUUUGAACCUACUCAAAAAAUAAGUAAAUCUUAGUUUAAAAAUAAAUUUAAAGGCCAGGUGUGGUGGCUCAUGCCUGUAAUCCUAGCACUUUGAGAGGCCGAGGCAGGCGGAUCACGAGGUCAGGAGAUCAAGGCCAUCCUGGCCAACAUGGUGAAACCCCGUUUCUACUAAAAAUACAAAAAAUUAGCCAGGCAUGGUGGCACGCGCCUGUAGUCCUAGCUACUUGGAAGGCUGAGGCAGGAGAAUCGCUUGAACCCGGGAGGUGGAGGUUGCAGUGAGCCGAGAUCACGCCACUGCACUCCAGCCUGGGUGACAGAGAGACUACAUCUCAAAAAAUAAAUAAAUAAAUAAAUAAAUAAAAAUAAAAAUAAAUAAAUAAAUAAAUUUAAGCAAAUAAAGACUUACAGGUAAGGUUUUGGGUAAGGGAAUAUUGUGAAGAUGGUGGUCCAGGGCCUGGGCUGGCACACAUGGGCCCUUCCCCUCAGCCCUGGCUUUCCCUGGCCGCCCCAGGCUCCCAGUAUCAGGUGCAGGGGAGGAGAGGAAGUAAAGGGUGCCAUACUUACGUCCUGACUGACCUGUAAAGACACCGUAUGGUAGCUGGCAGGCACGCCUUCGUCCUCAUCAUCAUCACUCUGCCCGCCCCGAGAGGCAUGUUGGCUGGAGGUUCGAGGCCGGCGAAGCAUUGAUCCCUCUUUGGAUUUCUUCUUGAAGCGGUUCCCUUUGCUGUCAUAUUUGUGACUCUUGCCACGUUUCUCCUGGGACUUGCAUCCUGAGCAGAGCCAGACUCAGGUCACAUUUCUGUGUCUAUAUAGGCAUAGAUACCCUGCCUUUUCUCCCCUCUCAGCCUCUCCCCUGCAUAAUUGCAUGGCUACUCCCCAGCUGCCCCCUCAUCAGCUGACCCACCGCCAUUCAGACUGGCCUCCACAAAGAUCCGGAGAGUCUUGACGCAGAGCUCAAAGUUGUCAGGUGUGAUGUGGGCAGCAUCACGCACAAUGAAGGACAGCGAUUCCACACACUUAAGCAGAGACUUAGUGUCGUGUGGCCCCAAAUCCAGUCCCACUGUUAGGCUGUAUUGAUUGAUCAGGGGUGAAGGGCCUGGGCGGCUGGGCCCUGGCUUGGAGUUAUCAACGUCAUCCUUCCCAACCUGUAAAGUACACAGAGGAGCUGGGGACACAGGCUUGGCCCCUGUGUGAAUGUCCUUGCAGAGGACCAGGAAUUCUUCCCACAGGUCAAGCAGGAGAGACUCAAUUGCUGCCCAUAUUGUCACUCACCACUAACCAACCACUGUUGACCACAUCGGCAUCUGUGGCUGAUCGGUGUAUCUUGCCCGGCCUGCCAUGGUCAGUGUAGACCUCUGAGUCGGAAGUGUACCCUCGAUCCAGGCUCACGUCAUUCUGAUGGUAGGAUGGGAGCUCACUAUCUGACUGGGCCCCUAUGGUAGGCAGGGAGAAGGGCAGAGUCAGGGUGGGGAUGGGGCACUGGGAUGAGGGAUAAAUCAGGCUCUCAGAAAAAAGAUGCUGAGGCCUGGCCUCCCCUCUCUCUGGCAUAGUUUAAUUUCUGUCACCAGAGGGCCAAAGGAUGGCCGGAACAGUUUCUCUGUUGACCAAAUAAGGUGGCAGGCUAAUCUGGGUUCCUGAUGGCAUCUAGUGGCAGCUGUAGCACCACUCUAGGGAGUGGUGGCAAGGACAAAUAAGCAAUGCAGAAGGCUAUGAAGCCAGGCUUUCCACUGUCCUGAGGACUGUUUUCCCAGUUUCUGGGAUUUAGUGAUGUAUCGAUUUAGUGAUAUAAAGUCUGCUCACAGAAUUCUAUUUUCCCAGAAUUCUGGGAAAACAGUCCUCGGGACAGCUCAGAAACAGAAACUGGGAAACAGUCCUCAGGACAAAUCAGUCCUCAGGACAGUAGGAAGCCUGGCUUCACAGCCGUCUGCAUUGCUUAUUUGCCCUCAUGCUAUUUAACUUAUGGGUACUAGCCAGCGGGCACUGGAAGCUCUGGAAGUGAUGGCAGGAGCCAGGGCUGUUUAAUCUGCUGAACACAGUAACCUGUGUUUUGUUUUCCUGUCCCAACUCCUGGGGUGUAACUGUUUAUCUGCCAGCCUGAGUCUCCCUGGGAAAGGGCUUACCGGCAUCAGGUGCAUCUGCCCUGGCUGUGGCCUGCAGAGCAGCUGGAGGCUUCACACCUGAGCCGAUGCACUCCAGCAGUGUGAAGAGUGUGGCCCAGUCAUCACCUGAGUGGAUGUUGGCUGCAUUGGUCUUCAGGAGUUCAUGGAGCCCAUACGCAACCUGGUGGCUGACUCGGGAUAGCACACUGGGCUUCAUCAGUAGCAAAAUGCGCAGGGAGAGCAGCACCUGGAGUGGGGUUAGGGCAGGGAGCGGGGAAGCGGGGAGCUGUGUGGGCACACAGCUUCCUGUCUAGUUUUCUUUCCCACCAGUCUCCUUAGGCCAGUGAAGACAGUUUGGCUAGGACCCAAUUUAGGAUACUGCUCUGGUCUUUUUUUUUUUUUUCAAAUAGAAAUAUAUUAAUUAUAUUAUUUGAGACAGGGUCUUGGUCUGUCUCCCAGGCUGGAGCACAGUAGCACAAUCACAGCUCACUGCAACCUGAAACUCCUGGGCUCAAGUGAUCCUCCUGCCUCAGUCUCUGGAGUAGCUGGGACUACAGGUGCAUGUGACCACACCUGGCUAAUUUUUUUUUUCUUUUUUGGAAAGAUGGGGUCUCGCUAUGUUGCCCAGGCUGGUCUUGAACUCCCAGGCUCAAGCGAUCUUCCCGUCUCAGCCUCCUGAAGUGCUGGGAUUAUAGGCAUGAGCCACUGCACCCAGCCUCAAAUACAAAUUUUUAUUGAGAAAAUUAUAGGCUCAUAUGCAGUUGUAAAGAAAUAAUACAAAAAGGUCCCUUAUACACUUUGCCCAGUUUAUCCCAAUGGUAACAUUAUGCAAAACUAUAGUAUAAUAUCAUAAUCAAGAUACUAUCUGAUCUUAUUCAGAUUUCCUGUUUUACUUGCAUUUUUGUGUGUAUUAAUUUCUAUACAAUUUUAUUACCUGUGUAGGUUUGGGUAUCCACCACAAAACAACAUACUGAACAGUUCCACCACAACAGUAUCCCUCAUGUUGCCUUUUUCUUUUUUU
rnacentral:lncRNA from 1 species